UGGGUUGAAUACUUGUGUUUUUUAAAACAUUUAAUUUGAAAUUUUAAAUCUAAACAAAUGGUAAAUCAACCAUGCUUUUUAUAUGCAAAGUAUUUCUUGACCCUCCAAAAUUCACUGCACUGAACUUUGCUUGUUCCCUGCUGCGUUUGUCACAAAUGAGAAAUGUGACCAAGACUGAGACUGACAGAGUGCGAGAUUCGUGUGAGGAUUACAUUUAGUUUGAUUAGUAUUACAAGGUUUCGUUUCUAUGUGAAGAAAGCCGAGCUCUUAACUCUGAGCCGUCGGCCCUAUGCUAGUGAUAGACAUAUUACUCUUUCUCCAUCUCUCCAGCUCAAUCUAUCUCUACUCGCGCUAAUCUCCGACUAGGAACUGCUUUCGUUAAACUUUAGGCUAAGGUAGCUAUAGCAAAGAUCACUGUAAAUUAAAAAAAAAAAAAAACGUAUGAUAAGUUCCUCCAAGUAUGCAGACGAUGAUAGCCAAAACGCUGCGUUAGCUUUAGAGUAUACACAUACAUAGUGUAUACACCCACUUAGAUAGAUCGAUGGGCAGCAUUUUGUUUGUUACUUAAGGGGUUCGUAAUUAGUCUAAGCGUCCAGGCAGAUAUCAAUUCAGUAGCCACGAAUGUUUAUCCACUAAGUGUACAUAUUGUAAUGCACUAGCUGUAGUUAAUUAUACGUACGCAUAUAUAUCUCUAUAAAUAUCAAAUGAAUUAUUCAAUAUAAUUAUGCAAAUGUGAACACAAAUGAGUAGACAUAACAAAUAAUAUUUAACAUUAAUAGUUACAGACAAGUGAAUAAAUUGUGCAUAUAGUAAUUUAAACCGUAAUCAUAAUCAUCGCAGCCCACAUGCCCCACUAAUUAGUUGUUGUUUAAAUACCCGUACGCAUACAUACACACCUAUCUAACACGUUUAGUAAUAGAAAUACCACCCAGGCAUAUAUGAAAAAAUCCUUCAAUUUGAGCCAAGAAAAGCAAGAAGAUCCUUUUUACUCCCUUCUUCGGUUCGCACUAAUGAACUGCGCGAAAUGGCAGGCAAUUAUAUAUAGAUAUAUCCAUCGAUUUGAGAACUUCAGCAAGCACAGGUUCAUUCAGCAUGUUGUUUAUCGCACCCCAAAUGAUGGAAAUUAAGUGCGUUUUGUAUGUGUGUCUAUGCGUAAUUGUAAUUAUUGAUAUCGAAUACGUAUUUACAAUGUAACAAUUACAGAAGCAAAAUAAAAAUGCCAUAAUUAUGAAAUUAAAACCAAC
ensembl:ncRNA lncRNA:CR44898 long non-coding RNA:CR44898